rnacentral:rRNA from 1 species
GACAGAGGUGGCGAGCGUUGUUCGGAAUUACUGGGCUUAAAGGGCGCGUAGGCGGUGGAGUAAGUCUGAGGUGGAAUGCCACAGCCCAACUGUGGAACUGCCUUGGAAACUGCCUCACUUGAGUUAGACAGGGGAAGGCGGAAUUCCUGGUGUAGCGGUGAAAUGCGUAGAUAUCAGGAGGAAGGCCAGUGGUGAAGACGGCCUUCUGGGUCUUAACUGACGCUGAGGCGCGAAAGCGUGGGGAGCAAACAGGAUUAGAUACCCUGGUAGUCCACGCCCUAAACGGUGGGCACUAGGUGUGGGAUUCGUAAGGGUUCCGUGCCGAAGGGAAACCAUUAAGUGCCCCGCCUGGGGAGUACGGCCGCAAGGUUGAAACUUAAAUGAAUUGACGG